CUUUACUGCAACCUGGAAUUGAAUUUGGGUUUUUUUUGUGCAGUAUAGGUGGGAGAUUAUAAUUUUAUUUACAGUCGUUAGUGAGAUACCACCCUUAAAAAGCUAGAAUUCUAAGAGCGUUCCUUGAAACAGGACGCUUAACAGUUCUUGGUGGGCAGUUUGACUGGGGCGGUCAUCUCUUAAAAGGUAACAGAGAUGUGCAAAGGUUCCUUCAGGCUGGAUGGAAAUCAGUUGUAGAGUGUAAAGGCAUAAGGGAGCUUGACUGUAAGACUUACAAGUCAAACAGAGGCGAAAGCCGGCCUUAGUGAUCCGACGGUACCGUGUGGAAGGGCCGUCGCUAAACGGAUAAAAGUUA
rnacentral:rRNA from 1 species